rnacentral:rRNA from 1 species
UGGGGAAUAUUGGACAAUGGGCGCAAGCCUGAUCCAGCAAUGCCGCGUGAGUGAUGAAGGCCUUCGGGUCGUAAAGCUCUUUUACCCGGGAUGAUAAUGACAGUACCGGGAGAAUAAGCUCCGGCUAACUCCGUGCCAGCAGCCGCGGUAAUACGGAGGGGGCUAGCGUUGUUCGGAAUUACUGGGCGUAAAGCGCGCGUAGGCGGUUUACCAAGUCAGAGGUGAAAUCCCGGGGCUCAACCCCGGAACUGCCUUUGAAACUAGUAGACUAGAAUCUUGGAGAGGUCAGUGGAAUUCCGAGUGUAGAGGUGAAAUUCGUAGAUAUUCGGAAGAACACCAGUGGCGAAGGCGGCUCACUGGCCCGGUACUGACGCUGAGAUGCGAAAGCGUGGGGAGCAAA